AGUUGAUGAUGUGGACAUUGUAUUUGUAACCUUCUAAACCUUUCUUAAGCUUCAUAAAAUUCUUUAUCAUGUUUUUGUCAGAAAGUUUGAAUUUUAGUUCUAUGGUU